CUUGGCAUGAACGAAAAAAGGACAGAACCAAUAGUUUUUCAAAAACCCAAAAUGUAGGGUGGGCGGGAUGCAUUUUAUCUCAUCCCACACAUUGUCUCAUAGAAUUACAAUCAAACUUCGUCUUCCAAGGACUUCCAUAUGCAAACAGCGCAGUCAUCUGUGUAUCCAAAACCAGACUACGAUUCAUAUAUGCCAAAUAUUCCAUGUACAACAGAAACAGGACCAGCUGAACAUUGGAAACGGAAAAGCGGUCUCAUUAGUGUCCCAGAGUGUCCAGCUAAGCGACAGAAAGGUGGAAGACAGUAUCAUUCAUCAGACGAAUCCAAGAUUCUUGCGCAUGUUUGUGACGGCUUAUCAGACAUUUGAACUAAAAUAUGAAUAGCACAUGCACAUGUAAUAUUAUGAUAUAAAAAGUAUGAAUAACAGAUUGCAAUAACACAGUUUUAUAUAGAUUAAUUUGAAAAUGAUUGAGACAAUG